rnacentral:pre_miRNA from 1 species
UGAAUUCAAAGUUUGUAUGGAGUUGGAACGUUUGCCGCUAGGGGCGCUGUUCCAACUGCAUACAAAUUUGAGUUA